rnacentral:lncRNA from 1 species
AUCAGGUAGGCGCGGCGCGGACCGCAACACGCCAGCUUUCUUGCUCUUGUCUCUAAGCAGCAGCAGCUUCCUGUCUCUCCAGCCACCAUUCCAUUCUCGCUCCUUGGUAAUGAGGCUGGCUAGCCAGCUAAUGCAGCUCCGAACCUGUUUUGUUGGUGGUCAUUUAACCAUGCAUGCUUCGAUCGAUGGAUUGGUGCAUGCAUGGAUUAUUGCAUAGUGUGAUGCAUGUGGCGCAUCAGUGCAUGGUUAGAUGACCAUCAGCAAACAUGUUCUUGAGGCAUGCAAGUUCUCUAGCUACACAUAUCAGAGAUCGAUCACCACUGCGGCGCCAUGGCUACUUAAUUGAAAUGGAGCGUGUGUUUCAUAUGGAGAUCGGUGCACUCACCUUGUAGCUUUAGCUUGCAUCCCCUUCGCUAACAGAGAGAUCUGACGACGAAAGCGAUCAUCAAUCAUAUGCCACAUGCUAUAUUUCACAGGUUCUAUCUGGUUAAGUAAAGAUCUGGCGUGUGGCAGUGCUCAUUCUCAUGACGAUAUGCAGAUGCAGUGUAUAUCAAUCGUAUCCAAUCAGCAUGCAAGUGGUCUAAACAAUGUAACACCUAAAUGCUAUUUUCACCGUAUAUAAGUUUUCUCAAUAGUGAGCUUGCAACCCAUUACCCAUAUUUGAAUCUGGGUAUACGGUAUGGAUAAUGGUUUUAUUCAAUAGAAAUAUGUAGACUGCACUCUCAGUUAAUCAUCUUCUAGUAGCAAUGGAAAAAUCAGAUGAG